ensembl:lncRNA novel transcript
AACCUCUGCAUAGUAGGAAUUCCCAAAGGAGGCAAGAGAGAAAAAGGCCUAGAAGACAUAUUUAACAAAACAAUGGUGAAAAUUUCCCAAAGAUGGAGAAAGAGGACACCAUUCAGAUACAGGAAUCUUGGAGGUCAUCAAUCAAAUUAAACCCAAAGAGGAAAUCCCUAAGGCAUAUCACAAUCAAAUUAGCAAAAAUCAGAGACAACAAAAAUACUCAGUGCAGCAAAAGAAAAGAAAAAUAUUACAUUAAACAAAGCACCAAUACAGCUUUCACUGGAUUUCACAGCAGAAAUCCUACAGGCCAGGUGAGAAUGGGAAGCUUGAAAGUGCUGAAAGAAAAAAAAAAACUGUCAACCAAGAAUAAUGUGCCCAGCAAAGCUAUUAAAACAAGAAGAGAGAUAAAGACUUUCUCAGACAAACAAAAACUGAGGGAAUUUGUCAGCACCAGACCUGUGUUACAAGACAUGCUAAAGAGAGUUCUUCAAUCUGAAAGAAAUGGAUGCUAAUGUGUAACAAGAAACAAUCUGCAGGUAUGAAACUCAUUGGUAAAAGAAAGAAAACAGACCAAUUCAGAACACAUCAAUAGUGAAAUUAGGAUAUUACAGAACAUUCCAUCCAACAGCUGCAGAAUACACAUUUUUCUCAACAGCACAUAGAAGAUUAUCCAGGAUAGAUCAUAUGUUAGGUCCCAAAACAAGUCUUGACACAUUCUUUAAAAAUCCAAAUCAUAUCAAGUGCAUUUCUUACCACAAUUAUUCCAAUUAUUCUACCAUUCUGGAAUAAAACUAGAAACCAGUUUUAAAAAAAGGAACACUGGAAAUUGUACAAACUCAUGGAAAUGAAACAACAUACUCCUGAACACUGAAUGGGUCAACGAAGAAAUUAAAAAGGAAAUUUAAAAUUAUCUUCAGACAAAUGAAAAUGGAAACAUGACAUACUAAAGCCUAUGUAAUAUAUCAAAGCAGUUCUAAGAGCAGUUCUGUAGCAAUAAAUGCCUACAUCAAAAAAGUAGAAAGACUUCAAAUAAACAACCUAAAGAUCACCUCAAGGAACUAGACAAGCAAAAACAAACAACACUCAUAAUUCAGAUAAAGUAUCUAUCUGAACAAUACAAAAGAUUGAAGUAGCAAAAAUUGCAUUUUUGAAAUAAUAAAUGAAAUUAACAAAACUUUAGCUAGACCAAAGAAAAGAGAGAGGACUCAAAUAAA